rnacentral:rRNA from 1 species
UACGUAGGGGGCUAGCGUUGUCCGGAUUUAUUGGGCGUAAAGCGCGCGUAGGCGGCCGCUUAAGUCGGAUGUGAAAGCCCCUGGCUCAACUGGGGAAGUGCACCCGAAACUGAGUGGCUUGAGUACUAAAGAGGGUCGCGGAAUUCCCGGUGUAGAGGUGAAAUUCGUAGAUAUCGGGAGGAACACCGGUGGCGAAGGCGGCGACCUGGGUAGAUACUGACGCUGAGGCGCGAAAGCGUGGGGAGCAAACAGG